GUGGUGCAGUGCGGGUUAACCGCUGAGCAUCGCUUAAUGCAGCCGGACAGAAGGAGCCUCUUCGGAGGGAUGAUUAAAACGCACCUCGCAAGGUCACCCUGAGCUGUCAUUGCCGGGCUCCAGGCUCCUUCCUGACACCCGGGGUUGGAAACCUACGGUCUGUCCCCAUAGAUUUGCAUUGCUGGGGUCCCAAGGAAGCUUCUUGGAGCACCAAAGCAGCUCUUUUGCCCCCAGACGUGAGUCAGCACCGAGCCAGCUCAGCACCCGCUGUCACCCCAGUGUCUCCCCAGGCUCUUCAGUGGUGACUCAGGGCAGCAGCAUCCUGCUGGGAGUGAUGGCAAAGUCCUUAACAGGGCACCAUGGAGAGCGGGGUGUGCGGUCUGCGGUUGGCACCCAUGGGUGCUGCAUGUGCCCUGUCUGCAGUUGACACCCAUGGCUGCUGCAUGACUGCGGUUGGCACCCAUGGGUGCUGUGUGUCCCUGGUCUGCGGUUGGCACCCAGAGGUGCUGCAUGUGCCCUGUCUGCAGUUGACACCCAUGGGUGCUGCAUGACUGCAGCUGGCACCCAUGGGUGCUGUGUGUCCCCGGUCUGCAGUUGGCACCCAGAGGUGCUGCAUGUGCCCUGUCUGCAGUUGACACCCAUGGGUGCUGCAUGACUGCAGCUGGCACCCAUGGGUGCUGUGUGUCCCCGGUCUGCAGUUGGCACCCAGAGGUGCUGCAUGUGCCCUGUCUGCAGUUGACACCCAUGGGUGCUGCAUGACUGCAGCUG